AUGCAGCAGUUCUACACUCCGGUUCUUCCGUUCCGUCCGUACCCACCUGACGACUGUUCGCUACGUUUUUUUACCC
rnacentral:sRNA from 1 species